ensembl:lincRNA
AUGCUCCUACACGAUGACUGGGCUCACCUAAGGCUACGACUGGCUAAAGCAGCGAACUCUUCAGAUUUGGUCCCCAUGGCUCCUCGGGUGCUGGAUACAGAGCGGGACCGUGUCAGGUGGGGGUGGGGAGGGGACAGGAGUGGAGUGAUGAACAGAGGACUGUCUGUAUCAGGUUGGAAGGAGGCGGCGGGUGCACAGUGGAUGAGGAAGCUGAGGUCUACCCGUGCUGUCUGUGCGAUGCUCCUACACGAUGACUGGGCUCACCUAAGGCUACGACUGGCUAAAGCAGCGAACUCUUCAGAUUUGGUCCCCAUGGCUCCUCGGGUGCUGGAUACAGAGCGGGACCGUGUCAGGUGGGGGUGGGGAGGGGACAGGAGUGGAGUGAUGAACAGAGGACUGUCUGUAUCAGGUUGGAAGGAGGCGGCGGGUGCACAGUGGAUGCGGAAGCUGCCCCGGGCUCCGCUCUGCAGGUCUCUGGAGGGGGUGGUGCCAGUUCUCUCCUGCCCCAAGAAGCCCCACAGGGUGCAGCCCGACCUCAGUGAAGCUGUGAAUCCCUGGAAGAGUGUAAGAUGAGAAGAAAGUGCUGUCAGAGGUGGGGGGAUUACUCUCUUUGGGGAAAGGAAUUCUCUGUGUCAAGGAGCUUCCUUCCCCAGCCUUGAAGACCCACAAGGUGACCAGACAGGAGGGUGGGACCUGACUCACUGUCCUGUCCAUGACCAGCAACCAGAGGGACUCACCUGAGCUAUGUUAGGGGGACUCGCUCAGGCCGCUCCGCCCAGCUGCCUCCUGCUGGACCUGGGCUGUUGAGCUCAGUGUCUUGGAGAAUGAGUGGAGGCUUGGAUUUAGGUUCUGUUGCCUGGAUUUAAAUCCUCGGUUCUACCAACCUCCAACUGUGCGGGCAGGUCACUUAACCUCACUGAGUCCUGGAUCCUUUGUAACAUGAGAUGAUAACUCAUACAUCUUAGGCCUGUGGCAAGGACUAAUCCUAUCUAACCACCUAGCAGUGGGUCUGGCUCAUGGGAAGCCCUAAAAUGGUAGCCCUUAUUAAAAUGGAACAGUAAAAGCUCCUUUCUUUGAAGCAGGGGGAAGAAAAAAAAAGUUAUUUGGAAACAGCAGUGUUUUAAUGAGGGAGCCUCAACAUUCAGAAAUGCCAGAGGAAACACUCAAAAUGGAACCCAGGUGGGCGCCUGUCUGAGGCCUUAGCCUGCCUGCCCCACAGCCCAGCCCCAAGCCCAGGAUGGAGGGACCCCUGCACCGCCUACCAGGGCUUCCUACAAACUGCAGAAACCCUCCUUUCCCAGGGUCUGGGUCCUGGGUGAGCAGGACCCCAAGGGAGGGAAAGGAAGGGAAGGUAACAAGUGGUUUUGCAACUGUUUUGAUUACUUCAGCUUGAGAUGUUUGCAAAUAAGAUGUUAAAGGCUGAAGGUUUUGUCUGGUCUUAAGUUCAGCAUAUUUGUAGUUUUAUUAAAACUUGUCAUGGCAACAACCUGUGAUGGGGGGGUGGGGGGCAGGAUUCGGCAGUGACUGAGCUGUAGGCCACCACCUGGGGCAGCCUUGGGGAGGGGCUGAUGUGUGUGGCACCUUGGACCACUGUCCAUCCCUUCUGAGAAGUGAGGGGAAGAGGUUACAAGGCACUGGAGCAUGCAUUCGCUGUCUGUAUCACCUCUGUUUUCUAGGCGACAGGAAAAGCUUUUUCCAGGAAACUCAGUAAGCCAGAGGAAGAGAGAUGCAUGAAGGAACCAAGCCUUAUCUUUUUGUCUUAUGUUUUGUCUUAUUUUUUUUUCUAAUAUUUUUUAUGUUUUCUUGUCUUGUGUUUUGUUUUAUAUCUCGGUUGGGAAGAGCUUUCUACCAAAAAAGGCAGGACAUGGCUGUUUCAGCUUCUCACUGCUCAGCCGGCUUGAAGACCUGCCGGGUUGAUGACCUGCUGGGAACUGGGUCAGUGAGACCCUAGGAGAGCAUUGCCAGGGUGGGAAUAAGGGGACGGAGGCCCACUAAGCAUCCUAAGUGCCAGGCCUGCUGAUGGCUCCUGGAGAGGCCUGGCUUCAUCCUCAGGAAGAUGAUGGUUUGGGGGUGAGAUGGCAGGUGUAGGUGAAUGAGGGGCUAGGAGCCAGGUCCACCCUCCUCUGGAAUCUCGGAGAUGGGAGACACAGUCCCUGACAUCGGAGACGUGGUUCAGCCCCUCACAAGUCCCCGCCCCAAGCAGCAGCCCCUGGUGCAAUGCCAGGUGGGAAUUCCCUGUGUCUCAGGGUCCCCUCCUGCCUGGCUCACCACUGCGAUCCAUCACAUCCCACCACACUGGACCUGAGCUGAGUGCUGGAGGGCCGCUCUGGCUCAGGGCCCUGCAAGAAGCUUCCGUACCUGCCUCCUGUCUUUUGUUUCCAGGCUUAUCUGUUGGCAUGAGAAGUCCUCGGCACCUUCCGCAGCAGCUUUUUUGCACCUUUUGGGGCUGUGCCAGGUACAAAUACCUGUCUGUCUGUGUUACUUGGUUUUUCUUGGGGGAGGACAGUUCAGGCUGGAGGGGAGCAGAGGGGACCUGGACACUGAAGCCUCAAGGGUUAGGGUCGAGGUCGCUUUGGCCACUCAUCGGCCCAUCUGUCCCGACAGUGGACAGUCAGAGGUGAUGUGACAGCUUCCUGCCUGGGAAGGUCUCUUGCAAGGAGAUAGUACUAUUUUUUUAAAUUGAUGUAUAGUUGAUUUACAUCAUUGUGUUAAUUUCUUCUGUAUAGCAAAGUGACUCAGUUAUAUACAUAUAUACACAUCAUUUUUCAUUUUCUUUACAUCAUAGUUUAUCACAGGAUAUUGAAUAUGGUUCUCUGUGCUGUACAGUAGGACUUUGUUGUUUAUCCAUCAUGUAUGUAAUAAUUUGCGUCUGCUAACCCCAAACUCCAAAAACUUCCCUCUCCCUGCCUUCCUUCCCUUGGUAGCCACAAGUCUAUUCUCUGUCCAUGAGCCUCUUUCUGUUUCACAGAUAAGUUCAUUUGUAUCUCAUUUUGGAUUCCACAUGUAAGUGAUGUCAUAUGGUAUUUGUCUUUCUCUGACUUAUUUCACUCAGUACGAUCAUCUCUAGCUUCAUCCAUGUUGCUACAAAUGGCAUUACUUCAUUCAUUUUUAUGGCUGAAAAUAUUACGUUGUAUAAAUGCAUCACGUCUUCUUUAUCCAUUCCCCUGUCAGUGGACAUUAGGUUAUUUUAGCGGCUUGGUUGUUGUAAAUAGAAACAAUACUACUUUUCUCGUAUCACCUGAAGACCAAAAGUGAGAGAAGUGGGCUCCAGCUCUGCACAGGGACAGACAGAAUAGCUUUCCUGACGCAAGUAGAUGCCCCUUGGCUUGCUAGUAGUGGACUUUCGACAAGAGACUCCCCUCUGACCAUGACGUGUAUAUGGGCGUGUGGUUCUUCCUAAAGGCGGAAGGAUAAACUGAAUGUCUAGGUCACUUAAGAAGCAUUGGCAGAAUUCAUUGGCAGGGCCCGAGCCAGGGAGCCAGGGAAAGUCCAAAGGCAAGAAAAGCCCAAGGAGAGGCCAUGGGGAAGCAGCCUGGGACGAGCAUGAUGGGCCAAGGCGGGGCCCAGGGCCACUGGCAGGGCUUCCUACUACCCAGUUGUUCCACUCUUUUGCCUCAGACUGCUCCCAGUGGUCCAGGGACAUCCACCUUCUUCCUUCUGAGCCUGCCUGGAGCUGUGGGCACAGCCUGGGGAGGUCGGGCCCAGGGCUGGGCUGACUCAGGGCAGAAGGGCAGGAGGCGCCUGCUCUGCCCACCAUUGAGGGGAUGUUGGUAGAACCCUCCAUCCCUGAAGCCCAGCUGUACACUCUGCUGUCCUGCCUGUGAGUCUUAAAGCUUUCCAAUCUUACAAAAAUGUUUUCUUGUUAUUGUUGUUCAGUCACUAAGUUGUGUCCAACUCUUGCAACCCCAUGAACUGCUGCAUGCCAGGCUCCUCUGCCCUCCACUAUUUCCCCGAGUUUGCUCAAAUUCAUGUCCAUUGAGUCAGUGACGCCUUCUAACGAUCUCAUCUCUCAUUUCCCAGAAUCACGGUCUUUUCCAAUGAGUUGGCUCUUUGCAUCAGGUGGCCAAAGUAUUGGAGCUUCUGCUUUAGCAUCAGUCCUUCCAGUGAAUAUUCAGGGUUGAUUUCCUUUAGGAUGGACUGGUUGGAUCUCCUUGCUAUCCAAGAGACUCUCAAGAGUCUUCUCCAGCACCACAGUUCAAAAGCAUUAAUUCUUUGGCACUCGGCCUUCUUUAUGGUCCAACUCUCACAUCCGUACAUGACUACUGGAAAACCCAUAGCUUUGACUGUAAACAGUUUGAUUUUAUACCUCAGGUUAGAAAUGCCACAGCCCUGAUCCCUCCUGUAGAAUCACACAGAUGAGCCUUGUCGAGGUUCAGAAAUGUCUUAUGGUAAAGGACCUCUCAAUCUUACGAUGCUUCUUCCCACAGGCUCCGACAACCUUCUAAGAUACCAGUGUCUCUGGCUCUUCUCCUUUGGCAAAACUGGAAAGGAAGGUUCAGGGAGUCAGAUACUGAAGGGGCCUUAAAGAUACGCCUGCCCUUUCAUUUUCCAUGUGAGACGCACAGAGGCCCUGGGUGCUGAGUAGUUUCCCAGGAGUCCCCACCCUGGCGGUGGCAGAGGAGGGAGCCCUGGCCCAGCUCCUGCCCUAAUGCUCCUCAGGUAUUAAAACCAGCCAGAAACAAAGACGAGAAGGGACUGGGAGCUCUCUGUGUGAUUGGAGGCUAUUUUGAAGAUUUGUUUUAGAUUUUGUUUCUGGGUCAGUGAUUUUAUAUAAAGAGUGUGAUCCAGCUGAUUUAUUAGGGAAAGAAUUGUAAACUUUGGUUCGCUUACAAGAAGUGUUUGGGUUUCUGAAAAGGGUGCUACUUUUGAGGCUGGAUGAUUUUCAUGAACAAUAAGUGUUUAUAAACUAAAAUCUGGCCACCUCUGCUCUUCACGCAGCCCCACAAAUUCCUACCCGAGGCCCCUUGUAGCUGUUUAAUCCACUCACCAUCCUCGGCCCUCGGCUGGGGGCCUCUCCCAUGACUGGGACAUUAAGAUACAGAGGCCAGGCCUGCAUCUCUGGGGGAGCAGAGGGAGGUGUGGGGCUGGGCUGGUGCGUGGUUCCCUCCCCAACCCCUGUUGGUGCCAGGCCGCCCGGUGCAGGAUGCAAAGCCUCCUAUGCAACAUACGUCUUCUUGAAGUGGGGCGGGGGCUGCAGAAGCCUUGCCUCGAGCCUCUUCCAUGUCCCCUGCCCCCCAAAGGCGAGCAGGAAGCCGCCCUUCCCUGGA